GCCGAGGUAGCUCAGCCCGGUAAGGCGGUGGCCUCGAGAGCCACUGGUGCUCCGCACCACGGGAGUUCAAAUCUCCCCCUCGGCG
rnacentral:tRNA from 2 species